CCGUGCUAAGCGGGGUACUAGGGGUGCCUUGUAUCCGAAAUCCUCUUCAUGCGGAGCUGAAUUCCCUGCCGGAGGGGCAUGGUGACAUCGGGACUAGCACCGAGUACGACAGUGUUGAAGAUCGUGUCCUGCGCGGCGGGAAGCCCGUGAACCGGGUCAGGUCCGGAAGGAAGCAGCCCUAAGCGGCGCUUGCCGGGUGCCGUAGGGUCGCACGAUUGGAGCUGACGUCUCGGUUGGCGCCGACGUCACCUGUUCCGAAGGCAGGGUGCACGG
rnacentral:SRP_RNA from 1 species